GUUGAGCACCCAGUUGGCUACAAGAAGCUAAGAGGAGAGGCAAGAAGCCUGAAAGAAAGGCAGAUAAAUCCUAUGUUUCCUUUGGAGGCAUCUUCCCUCUCUAUUUCUGCUGCCUGAGAUAAAGCUGGGUCCCAGCCCCGCUCUCCUGUUUGUCUUCACUCAGACAAGGAAUAGGAAGUGGCUUUUUGAAUCUACAUUUGGACCUUAUCCAGCUCUUCAUUGCUACGCAACAAAGGCGGCGUUGGUGGUCGACGGGACAGAUAAGCUGUGUCUCUGCUGUGUCUUUCCCCAGCAGCCAUUGAUAUACCAUGGCCUUUCCCGGGACUGCGGCUAACAAUGUGACCCUGCUCAUCCCCCCACACAGCCCUGAUGACACUCAGAAGAAAUUCCCAAGAAAGAAUGAGGCACUAGGGGCCAUACAGAUCAUUGUCGCCUUAAUACACCUUGGCCUCGGGGGCAUCUUGUUCUUCUCCUCAAAAGAAUCUGUCCCCCUGUGCAUGGCUUCCUGGUACCCGUUCUGGGGAGCAGCGCUUUUCAUCAUUUCUGGGUCCCUCUCAGCUGCAGCUGCAACUGCAACGAAUAUCACAGAGGGUCUGGAGGCAGGCAGCAAUAUGUUGAAUGCCAUCAGCUUCCUUGCCUCAUUAGCUGGAGGAAUAAUGUUGGGAAUUGAUUUGAUUAAUAUUUGCAUUCUAAACAAGUAUAAAGUUUCCAUCCCAAUUUUGGAUAAAAUCCACUUAGUCCGCUUCCUUCUCCCUCAUCGCUGUGAAGAAAGCCCCAUCCCUUGGGACUACUGUCAGAGCAUCGGUUCUUACAAGACGGGAAUCUUGGCCUUGAUGCUGAUCUUCUCUGUAAUCCAGAACAUCGUUUCUAAAGACGCUAUCUCCUCUGACUCGGAUAAGUCACAGGAUCAUGAGGCAGAGCAAGUGUUUCCCUUGCUGUCACCCCCACAACCACAGUUCAGCAAUGGAACCAGUCCUCCAUGGCAGUAGUCUAUCAGCAGCAUCCAACAAACUCCAAGCAGCUUUCAUGGGUAAAAAGCAUAUAUACGUGGUGCCUGAAUCUCUCCCUCACGUUGCAGAUAAGACGCCCUUCUCUCUCUUACUGAGUCUGGUCCAGAGAUCACAUGUGUCUUCACAGUACGCAGAAGGGAAGAUGGGCAAUAAUGACUCACUAGCUUUAUCCAUCCUCUUGGAAAAGACCUCCUAAAUGACACUUACGCCAGCUUCUUCAAUAAUGGGUUGAAAAGGUAUCCCUUCUUGGUGAGUGGACACAGUGCAUCAUGGAAGAUAUAGUCCAGCUGGGGAGCCUGGCCCAGGGAAGAGAAUGGGGAUAUAAGGAAACUGAACUACAACUCCCAGGAAGUACCACAGUGGUAGAUUUUAAUCAAAAUAUUUCAGUUUUGGGUUUUUUAAAACUUUUUAUCAACAAUUGAAAUUUGCUUUUCUCUAAAACACUUUUCAUGAACAAUUCAGUUUAAUCAAAAACCCAAUUUUCCAUCAAAAAACAGCUAAAUUUUCAGCCAGCCCUGCUAAGAUGCCUCUCUUAAUGCAUGUGGGCAAUUCCAUUGACUUCAGAAUACAGUUGGAAUGGGUUGCCAGUUAACUAAUUUUUUUAUUGCAAACUUGUUUAAAAGUAGCUGAAAGGUCCCUAAAAACAGUUUGAAAUCUCCAGUCCUUCUCCCUACGUGCUCCCAGCUACCUCUUCUCAUCACUCCCUACCUCAAAGGCUGCCUCCAUUAUGUAUCCUUCCCUCUCACCCACCCGUUAAAUGCUUGCAGUAAUAACUCCCCACACCAUUUGCCUUGCUCAGUCAGAUGCAUUGUAGCAGAUAAAUGAACACUGUCAGCAGCCUGGUAGGCUCCUGUGUUGGAGGGAUGGGUUCAGCAGGUGAUCUUUCACCUGUAAAGGGUUAAGAAGCUAGGAUAACCUCCCUGGCACCUGACCACAAUGAUCAAUGAGGAGACAAGAUACUUUCAAAGCUGGAGGGGGGAGAAACAAAGGGUCUGGGUCUGUCUGUGUGAUGCUUUUGCCGGGGACAGAACAGGAAUGAAGUCUUAGAACUUA